AGUGCAGUCGUCAGAGUGAAGCAGCAGGAGCCCGCAGAUCGGAAAACGCUUACAGUUCAUCCAAGUGCCUUGGAGGCCAUUUCACCUUUUUCAACCAUUUGGCUUACAGUUCGUUCAAGUGCUGCCAAUUUCUUGGGGGCCAUUUCACCUUUAUCAACCAUUUGAGUAAUCUUACAGUUAAGUCAGGUGUUGCCAGUCUGUUGGACCAUUUUAUAAUUGUUGUUGGAGUCAUCUUACUAUUUCAACUGCUAGAGUAAAGUGCUGUGAGAAAGAACCAUGUCUCCCAUGCCGCACUGAUGAUUCAUCUAUUCAUUCAUUUUCUUUUCGGCUUAGUCUCUUUAUUAAUCCGGGGUCGCCACAGCGGAAUGAACCACCAACUCAUCCAGCAUAUGUUUUACACAGCGGAUGCCCUUCCAGCUACAACCCAUCUCUGGGAAACAUCCAUACACACUCAUAAACUACGGACAAUUUAGCCUACCCAAUUCACCUGUAAUGCAUGUGUUUGGACUGUGGGGGAAACCAGAG